CCCUCUCUCUACCCUUCACCACUGCUUCUGUACUGAGAGUUACUGGGCUGUGAAAUGUAAAAAACUGCAGCGGCGAAUAUGCAUGCAUGGCAAUCCAUUAUCUUGUCAAACUUGGCUUCCCCGGGCGUCCGGGCUGCAAUCCCUGUGUGAGGGGCAGAGAGAGAGACAGGCAUGCUGCCUCGGCUGUGGCUCUGGCUGUGCUGUGGAUGGCAGGCUGCCUGCAGCAUUUCCUCUAGUGGACAGGAGAAGGGGGAUGGAGGGGGGAUGUGAGGUUGUGUUGGGCCUUCUCUCAGACGGCUGCUGGGAUCUGCUCUGUAGGUCAGCUGGCCGUCUGGGAGAGAGAGAGGGAAGAGAAGCAGGGCUAGACAGAGAAGGGAUGGAAGGAGAGGAGGAUGGAGCAAAGGACAGAGAAGUAGAGAUAGAGGGAAGGAUGUAGCAAAGGGCAGAGAAGUAGAGAUAGAGGGAAGGAUGUAGCAAAGGACAGAGAAGUAGAGAUAGAGGGAAGGAUGGAUGUUAGGACAGAGAGGGAGAGAUAGAGGGAAGGAUGGAUGUUAGGACAGAGAGGUAGAGAAAGAGGGAAGGAUGGAUGUUAGGACAGAGAGGUAGAAAUAGAGGGAGGGAUGGAUGUUAGGACAGAGAGGGAGAGAUAGAGGGAAGGAUGGAUGUUGGGGCAGAGAGGGAGAGAUAGAGGGCAGGAUGGAGGAUAGGACAGAGAAGUAGAGAUAGAGGGAAGGAUGGAGGAUAGGACAGAGAAGUAGAGAUAGAGGGAAGGAUGGAGGAUAGGACAGAGGGAAGGAUGGAGGAUAGGACAGAGAAGGGAUGGAAGGAGAGGAGGAUGGAGGAUAGAACAGAGAGGUAGAGAUAGAGGGCAGGAUGGAGGAUAGGACAGAGAAGGGAUGGAAGGAGAGGAGGAUGGAGGAUAGGACAGAGAGGUAGAGAUAGAGGGAAGGAUGGAGGAUAGGACAGAGAGGUAGAGAUAGAGGGAAGGAUGUAGGAUAGGACAGAGAGGUGGAGAUAGAGGGAAGGAUGGAGGAUAGGACAGAGAAGUAGAGAUAGAGGGAAGAAUGGAGGCUAGGACAGAGGGAAGGAUGGAGGAUAGGACAGAGAAGGGAUGGAAGGAGAGGAGGAUGGAGGAUAGGA